rnacentral:rRNA from 1 species
AGAGUUUGAUCAUGGCUCAGGACGAACGCUGGCGGCGUGCCUAACACAUGCAAGUCGAACGAGAAUCUCUGGAACAAGGCUUCGGCCAAGGGAAAGAGAGGACAGUGGCGGACGGGUGAGUAACGCGUGAGCAACCUGCCUAUCAGAGGGGGACAACAGCUGGAAACGGCUGCUAAUACCGCAUAACAUAACGGGGGGGCAUCCCUCUGUUAUCAAAGAUUUAUCGCUGAUAGAUGGGCUCGCG